rnacentral:rRNA from 1 species
AUUGAACGCUGGCGGCAUGCCUUACACAUGCAAGUCGAACGGCAGCACGGGAGCAAUCCUGGUGGCGAGUGGCGAACGGGUGAGUAAAGUAUCGGAACGUGCCCAGUCGUGGGGGAUAACGUAGCGAAAGUUACGCUAAUACCGCAUACGAUCUAUGGAUGAAAGCGGGGGAUCGCAAGACCUCGCGCGAUUGGAGCGGCCGAUAGCAGAUUAGGUAGUUGGUGGGGGAAAGGCUAACCAAGCCGACGAUCUGUAGCUGGUCUGAGAGGACGACCAGCCACAAUGGGACUGAGACACGGCCCAGACGCCUACGGGAGGCAGCAGUGGGGAAUUUUGGACACUGGGCGCAAGCCUGAUCCAGCCAUGCCGCGUGCAGGAUGAAGGCCUUCGGGUUGUAAACUGCUUUUGUACGGAACGAAAAGGUUUGACUUAAUACGUUGGACUCAUGACGGUACCGUAAGAAUAAGCACCAGCUAACUACGUGCCAGCAGCCGCAGUAA